rnacentral:rRNA from 1 species
GUGAACAUACCUUAAUGUUGCCUCGGCGGAUCAGCCCGCGCCCCGUAAAACGGGACGGCCCGCCAGAGGACCCAAACUCUAAUGUUUCUUAUUGUAACUUCUGAGUAAAACAAACAAAUAAAUCAAAACUUUCAACAACGGAUCUCUUGGUUCUGGCAUCGAUGAAGAACGCAGCAAAAUGCGAUAAGUAAUGUGAAUUGCAGAAUUCAGUGAAUCAUCGAAUCUUUGAACGCACAUUGCGCCCGCUGGUAUUCCGGCGGGCAUGCCUGUUCGAGCGUCAUUUCAACCCUCAAGCCCCCGGGUUUGGUGUUGGGGAUCGGCUCUGCCCUUCUGGGCGGUGCCGCCCCCGAAAUACAUUGGCGGUCUCGCUGCAGCCUCCAUUGCGUAGUAGCUAACACCUCGCAACUGGAACGCGGCGCGGCCAUGCCGUAAAACCCCAACUUCUGAAUGUUGACCUCGGAUCAGGUAGGAAUACCCGCUGAACUUAAGCAUAUCA